CGGACUCAGCCCGCCUGCACCCAGGUGAAAUAAACAGCCUUGUUGCUCACACAAACGUGCAUGAAAUUUGGUACUGUGACCCGGAUCAGAGUACCUCCCUUGGGAGAUGAAUCCCCUGUCCUCCUGCUCUUUGCUCCAUGAGAAAGAUCCACCUAGGACCUCGGGUCCUCAGACCGACCAGCCCAAGGAACAUCUCACCAAUUUCAAAUCUGAAACGCGCAUGAAACAAACAAACAAAAAAACUCUUUUGGUAGCAGAAUAAAAAAACAAAAAAAGGACUUGUUCUUUUGGACUGAACUGUAUUUAAAUCUCAAAGGAUGGACAUCUCACAACCUUCCUACAGCAAGUACUGUGAGAGCUGCAUCUUGUCCCACUGGAAGGUCUUCAGAGACAAUAACACAUAAUGGAGCCGUCAUCUCCUAUGAUAACAAUGCCUUCUUUUGGAUACCUCCUGAAGGACCUGCCUGAGGCUCUUUCACAGUUAGUUUUUUUUUUUAAUAAGUAGAAGGAUUACACUCUAAAAUAAUAAGUGUAGUAUAGUAAAUGUAUAAACCAGUAACAGUGGUUUAUUAUCGUUAUCAAGUAUUACAUACUGUACAAAAUUAUAUGUGCUACAAUUUUAUGUGACUGGCAGCACUGUAGGUUUAUACCAGCAUCACCAUAAACACAUGAGUAAUAUGACACACCAUGGUAUUCUGACAACCAUGACAUCACUAGGCCAGGGAAUUGUUUAGGUCCAUUAUCAUCAUAGGCGACCAGAGUUGUAUAUGUGAUGUGGUCUGUCAUUGACUAAAAUGUCAUUAUGACUGUAC
rnacentral:lncRNA from 1 species